UUGAUCCGGCCAUUAGUCAUACGCUCGUCUAAAAGAUUAAGCCUUGCAUGUCUAAUUGCAGGCACUUGUACUGUGAAACUGCUAAUGGCUCAUUAUAUCACUUAUAGUUUAUUUGAUAGAUCCCUACUACUUGGAUAACCAUAGUAAUUCUAGAGCUAAUACAUGCAAGAAAGCCCAAUUUUUCGGACGGGUUGUGUUUAUUAUAUAGAAACCAAUGCAGGGUUUCCCUGGUGUGGUGGUGAGUCAUAAUAACUAAGCGAAUCCAUUGGCCUAUGGCCGGCAAUAAAUCUUUAAGGUUUCUCCCCUAUCAUCUGUCAAGGGAAGGGUAUUGGCCUACCAUGGCGUUAACGGGUGACGGAAAAUUAGGGUUCGAUUCCGGAAAGGGAGCCUGAGAGACGGAUACCACAUCCAAGGAAGGCAGCAGGCGCUUAAAUUACCCAAUCCUGAUACGGGGAGGUAGUGACAAUAAAUAACAAUACGGGGCCCAUCGGGUCUUGUAAUUGGAAUGAGUACAAUUUAACUCCCUAAACGAGGAUCAAUU
rnacentral:rRNA from 1 species